UUGCCAUACCUUCCUUCUGCCACCUGGAAAAAUCACUCUUAGUUGUGCAAAUGGGAAGGCAACUGGGACAAAUUCUAUGCAUACACAGACACACAACACAUGCAGACGUGCAAGCUUUUAAAAACACUUGAGAAGCCACUAUGCCUCACUUUGCAAGCCCCCUUUUAAGAAACGUCAUUAUCAGAAGUCAACUUGAUGGCAUCAAGAGGAAGCAAUGCCUCCAAUAUCUGAAAACCCUGAGAACACUGCAAUAUGAUGGAUUUAAGACCGUAUAUUUUGGGGAAACCAAUAUCCCAGAAAGUCUUGUAACUGGGGAAGAUAUCAGUGAUGGAUAUUUCAUACAAACCCCAACUUGGUGUAUUGUGCACGCUGCAGAUAGUCAAGGAUGGGUGCCUUGGAAAUACCGGAUGUUCCUAAGAGACGAACUGUGUAUCAAACAAGAAAACAGCCUCUUCUCUGAGUUCUGUGAUGUGGUGAGGAAGGCCUAUGGAAAGUGUGUCAUCGUGGUCAAAGAGAGAAGGCAGCAGGAAGAGCAGAGGCCAAAGGAAGACAGAGAGGCUGAUGGCCAGUUCUAUAUCCCUACAGUCAUUAGCUUAGCAAGCAUUGUGUGUUGCCCAGAGGUGGCCAAGUCCUGUGGCCACGAACUACUCUCUCUGCCUUCCCCUUGUAAUUAUCUGAACCCUUUAGACUCAGCCUGGUCUUCUCUGAAAUGGUUUAUCAUCAAUAACAGAAACAAGUUUUGUUUGCAGUCCAUUGACAGUGUCUAUUCUUACCAAUGUAUACUUUUCAGCAAUUUAAUUAGCAAAGGAAUUGAAAGGAUAAACCCAAGCAAGUGGAGAACAUUAACUAGCAAAGUACGGAGAUGGGAAAACUACUAUCUUGGGAAAUUUUCUUAAGGGCGAUUCCUCCAACAAGCAGUGAGGCUGCUACAUGUCUGGUGUUUACCAUGAACUCUGUUGAGAUGGAUUCCACACCACUGCAGCCAAAGAUACUUCAACAGUGACCUCACAGGGGUGCUGCGAGAACUGAGUUGCUCCUAAGGAUGUUGGCAAAGCGCUUUGAGUUUGCUAGAAGUUUCAUUAAAAUUUGUUGUUGUUUUACAGAUGAGGAAACUGAGGCACUGGCAAGACACUAGGGCCAAGAGAUUCUGAAGCCCAUGCUCCUCACCACCGUGCUUAGCUCAGUUAUUGAAGCUGAGCUUUUCCUUUUUCACUCUCAUCAUUUCUAUGUCGCAAGGCUCACCUCUGACCUCAGAAGAGACACCAGCCACUAAAAUGGCCAACUCCCCUGGACACCAAAAAAUUUUAUUUCAACAUAAAAUUAAAGAGGAGACAGAAUAUCUUUUAAAGACACAUUAUUUUACAGCGAUAAAAAAGGAAUGU